GACGAACGCUGUUGGCGUGCUUAACACAUGCAAGUCGAACGGAAAGGCCCUGCUUUUGUGGGGUGCUCGAGUGGCGAACGGGUGAGUAACACGUGAGUAACCUGCCCUUGACUUUGGGAUAACUUCAGGAAACUGGGGCUAAUACCGGAUAGGAGCUCCUGCUGCAUGGUGGGGGUUGGAAAGUUUCGGCGGUUGGGGAUGGACUCGCGGCUUAUCAGCUUGUUGGUGGGGUAGUGGCUUACCAAGGCUUUGACGGGUAGCCGGCCUGAGAGGGUGACCGGCCACAUUGGGACUGAGAUACGGCCCAGACUCCUACGGGAGGCAGCAGUGGGGAAUAUUGCACAAUGGGCGGAAGCCUGAUGCAGCAACGCCGCGUGCGGGAUGACGGCCUUCGGGUUGUAAACCGCUUUCGCCUGUGACGAAGCGUGAGUGACGGUAAUGGGUAAAGAAGCACCGGCUAACUACGUGCCAGCAGCCGCGGUGAUACGUAGGGUGCGAGCGUUGUCCGGAUUUAUUGGGCGUAAAGGGCUCGUAGGUGGUUGAUCGCGUCGGAAGUGUAAUCUUGGGGCUUAACCCUGAGCGUGCCUUCGAUACGGGUUGACUUGAGGAAGGUAGGGGAGAAUGGAAUUCCUGGUGGAGCGGUGGAAUGCGCAGAUAUCAGGAGGAACACCAGUGGCGAAGGCGGUUCUCUGGGCCUUUCCUGACGCUGAGGAGCGAAAGCGUGGGGAGCGAACAGGCUUAGAUACCCUGGUAGUCCACGCUGUAAACGGUGGGUACUAGGUGUGGGGUCCAUUCCACGGGUUCCGUGCCGUAGCUAACGCUUUAAGUACCCCGCCUGGGGAGUACGGCCGCAAGGCUAAAACUCAAAGGAAUUGACGGGGCCCCGCACAAGCGGCGGAGCAUGCGGAUUAAUUCGAUGCAACGCGUAGAACCUUACCUGGGUUUGACAUGGAUCGGGAGUGCUCAGAGAUGGGUGUGCCUCUUUUGGGGUCGGUUCACAGGUGGUGCAUGGCUGUCGUCAGCUCGUGUCGUGAGAUGUUGGGUUAAGUCCCGCAACGAGCGCAACCCUUGUUCACUGUUGCCAGCACGUUAUGGUGGGGACUCAGUGGAGACCGCCGGGGUCAACUCGGAGGAAGGUGGGGAUGACGUCAAGUCAUCAUGCCCCUUAUGUCCAGGGCUUCACGCAUGCUACAAUGGCUGGUACAGAGAGUGGCGAGCCUGUGAGGGUGAGCGAAUCUCGGAAAGCCGGUCUCAGUUCGGAUUGGGGUCUGCAACUCGACCUCAUGAAGUCGGAGUCGCUAGUAAUCGCAGAUCAGCAACGCUGCGGUGAAUACGUUCCCGGG
rnacentral:rRNA from 1 species